UACAGAGGUCUCAAGCGUUGUUCGGAUUCAUUGGGCGUAAAGGGUGUGUAGGUGGCGCGCUAAGUCGGGUGUGAAAUUUCGGAGCUUAACUCCGAAACUGCAUUCGAUACUGGCGUGCUUGAGGACUGGAGAGGAGACUGGAAUUUACGGUGUAGCAGUGAAAAUGCGUAGAUAUCGUAAGGAAGACCAGUGGCGAAGGCGGGUCUCUGGACAGUUCCUGACACUGAGACACGAAGGCCAGGGGAGCAAACGGG
rnacentral:rRNA from 1 species